GCCGGGCGCGGUGGCUCAAGCCUGUAAUCCCAGCACUUUGGGAGGCCGAGACGGGCGGAUCACGAGGUCAGGAGAUCGAGACCAUCCUGGCUAACANUGUUAGCCAGGAUGGUCUCGAUCUCCUGACCUCGUGAUCCGCCCGUCUCGG
rnacentral:SRP_RNA from 1 species